UUUUCAAUAUGUUUUUAUCUUUUGUUUAUUUUUUAUUUUUUAUUUUCUUAUUAUUGCUUUAUUUAUUUAUUUUUGUAUAUUCUUUUAUUUUCUUUAGUUUUUUAUUCUUUUACCUAUUGUAUUGGUAGUGUAUCACCCUCCUUUUUUUAUUAUUGCUUUAUUUAUUUUUAUAUUUUCUUUUAUUUUCUUUAGUUUUUUAAUUCUUUUACCUCUUGUAUUGAUAGUGUGACAUUUCCUUUUUAUUAUUUAUUUUAUUAUUAUUUCUUUGUUUUAGUUUAUUU
rnacentral:lncRNA from 1 species